GAUUUCAACUGAAAAAGUUAUCAACAACAAAGUUGUAUAACUCAUCAAUAUCUAUAACUUUUAUUUUGGUCAUUUCUUCAUCCGACAAAAUGAUAGUAACAUUGUUCACAAAAUUUGUAUAUAUCUCUUAUAAUUUAUAAAACCAUGUAAGAGAUAUGUAAAUUUUGUGAACAAUAUUACUAUUACUUCGUCGGAUGAAGAAAUUACCAAAAUAAAGUUAUAGAUAUUGAUGAGUUAUACAACUUUGUUGUUGAUGAUUUGUUCAGUUCAAAUC
rnacentral:pre_miRNA from 2 species